ensembl:lncRNA
GCUUUGGGGCGGCAGGUAGCCUAGUGGUUAGAGUGUAGGGGCGGCAGGUAGCCUAGUGGUUAGAGUGUAGGGGCGGCAGGGUAGCCUAGUGGUUAGAGUGUAGGGGCGGCAGGUAGCCUAGUGGUUAGAGUGUAGGGGCGGCAGGUAGCCUAGUAGUUAGAGUGUAGGGGCGGCAGGUAGCCUAGUGGUUAGAGUGGAGGGGCGGCAGGUAGCCUAGUGGUUAGAGUGUAGAGGCGGCAGGUAGCCUAGUGGUUAGAGUGUAGGGGUGGCAGGUAGCCUAGUGGUUAGAGCGUUGGACUUGUAACC